CUGGGUUUGACAUGCACGGAAAUCCAUCAGAGAUGGUGGGUCCUUCGGGGUCGUGCACAGGUGGUGCAUGGCUGUCGUCAGCUCGUGUCGUGAGAUGUUGGGUUAAGUCCCGCAACGAGCGCAACCCUUGUCCCAUGUUGCCAGCAAGUUGUGUUGGGGACUCAUGGGAGACUGCCGGGGUCAACUCGGAGGAAGGUGGGGAUGACGUCAAGUCAUCAUGCCCCUUAUGUCCAGGGCUUCACGCAUGCUACAAUGGCCGGUACAAACCGUUGCGAGCCCGUGAGGGGGGGCGAAUCGGAAAAAGCCGGUCUCAGAUCGGAUCGGGGUCUGCAACUCGACCCCGUGAAGUCGGAGUCGCUAGUAAUCGCAGAUCAGCAACGCUGCGGUGAAUA
rnacentral:rRNA from 1 species